AUUUUUCUUUUUUACCUGCAUAGUAUUCACCCAGAAGGACCAUGGGGACUUUUCUGGACCCUGGAGGACUUUAUCCUGCUUCAUCCUGCACCAUUCCUCAGACUCCAUACAGGGAAUCUUCUGCAUUCACCCCUCCCUCAGGAAGAAGGUAAGUUAAGGGUUACACUUCACUUUAAACAUAGCGAUGUGCUGAUGUGGAACCCUCAUUUCUUUCUUUCUUUCUUUCUUUCUUUCUUUCUUUCUUUCUUUCUUUCUUUCUUUCUUUCUUUCUUUCUUUCUUUCUUUCUUUCUUUCUUUCUUUCUUUUUUUGUUUUUUGAGACAGGGUCUCACUAUGUAGUUGAGACUGAC
rnacentral:lncRNA from 1 species